UGGGGAAUAUUGGACAAUGGGCGAAAGCCUGAUCCAGCCAUGCCGCGUGUGUGAAGAAGGUCUUCGGAUUGUAAAGCACUUUCAGUUGGGAGGAAGGGCAGUAAGCGAAUACCUUGCUGUUUUGACUAUACCGACAGAAUAAGCACCGGCUAUCUCUGUGCCAGCAGCCUCGGUAAUACAGAGGGUGCAAGCGUUAAUCGGAAUUACUGGGCGUAAAGCGCGCGUAGGUGGUUCGUUAAGUUGAAUGUGAAAGCCCCGGGCUCAACCUGGGAACUGCAUCCAAAACUGGCGAGCUAGAGUAGGGGAGAGGGUAGUGGAAUUUCCUGUGUAGGGGUGAAAUGCGUAGGUAUAGGAAGGAACACCAGUGGGGAAGGCGACCACCUGGGCUCAUACUGACACUGAGGUGCGAAAGCGUGGGGAGCAAACAGG
rnacentral:rRNA from 1 species